CAUUUCUUUUCUAACAAAUCGACAACAAACUGAUCAGAAAGAACUGAGCUAAUGAUACGUUACUGAAGACUGAAGUCAGAUCUCGGAACUGCCGGCAUUACAGAACCAAAGAUCCUGCCCGUCUUUAGACCACUCACGAAUCUGUAGUACCUAAUAAACACCCGAUCAGUGCGCAAAAUAGGUGACGAAGAGCGCCGCAAACAUGAGCAGGUACGCGAUCGCCUGAUCAAUCGCCUUUGGAUCGACCACCCUUGCCGCCGCCGGCUUGUCCUGCGCCGCCGCCAUGGACAGCUGCAUGAGCCCGGAGAAGAAGAAGGCCGUGAACAGCAGCACGUACGCCUUCACGGCCGCCAUCUUCUAGUUCUAUCGCUGUGCUAGCCGGAGUGUUUGAAGGUGAAAGUUAUAUCGCAGCUUCUUGGAACUGUGAUCCUUGAAUAACUAGUGAGGAAGUUGCUGCUAUGUGCUACUCUCUGAUGCUUAUGGCGAUGC
rnacentral:lncRNA from 1 species